rnacentral:lncRNA from 1 species
AAAUAAUGUUCAUGAUCAAUGCUAUAUAUAGAGAGAAACGUAAGCAUCCAUUUAAAAUAAUAAUUAAUCUAUUUCUUCGUUUUUAUUGCAUGCAAAAUUAAUGUAAACUAACUAAUGUAAACUCUUACUUAAUCUGCAUGCAUUGAUUUAGAAUUCUCUAGGUUAGCCUGACUGGGUUUUCUGAGAUGCUUGGUUGGAUCCAUGUCUUUUAUAUAUGUUUGCAGCACAGGGGGCAGGACUCGAUGAUAGUCUCACUCCUCCCCUUGUGGAAGCCGCAGAGACUCAGUCAGAAGAACUGAACGUCUGCCUGCAUCUGAGCACUGGAGAGCCAAGUGCGCAGCCGGCUCUGUUCACAGAGACACGUCUGAAAACAGUGUGUUCUGAUGUCUUCUGCAGAGGUUUCUUGCGUGCGAGGAUGAGUUUGCGUGCCACACUGGCCUCGCGUGCGCAGAUCCCGGUCACCGGCCCCGACCUCCCCUGGGACGAGGAGGAGGAGAUUAAAAUGAGACGGGGAAGGGGAAAAAAAUACGGCGAGAAAUGGCUUCCAGAUGACCCCGAUUUGAGUUGGUUAGCUCAUUUGUAGCAGGCAGACGGACUUUGACAGGAACAAUUACAGCAGCCUGAAGCUCCACACAGCAGCAGCACAUCUCCAGCGUAAUGAAGGAUUACUCACACACACAUCUACACUCUUCACAACUUACAAUUAGUAACGUUAUCACUAUAAAUAAACUUUAUUCUGUUCUACAAUGUGGGCUUCAGUAUUAAGACUUUUUAUCGUGUAAAUGCAUUGAUUAAACAGUUCUAUACUACAAAAAAAAAAAUGACUAAAAUUAUUAUACAAAACAUAAAUUGCCAUGAAGAUGCUCCUCACAUUGUGUAAUUGUUUGGAUAAUUAGUUAUUUGGUUCGAUUUUUUUUGGUUUUGUGUAUCCUUUCCAAUAUGCCAAUUUUUGUUAUUUUUUAUUUCAAGAUAUACAACAACAAAAAAAUCCCAAGAAAUAUAUUUCCCAUAUUUAGUAUUUACGUUAAUACAUUUUAUAUCAAUACCAAUACUAUUUUUUUUUGUUUAGUUUUGAAAAAGUAAAAAAAAAUAUGAAUAUGUUUUCAAAAAAAUAUUUAAAUAAAUUUUGCCCUCAGUCCAAAAAUACUUUAAUGUCUUACAUUUUAAGUAAACGUUAUUUGUUGUCUAUAACACAUAUGAACCUAUAACCAUUUUUAUAUAUAUAUUUUUUUACGAAUUAUUAUUUAUUAUUUAUUAUAAUAAUUAUUAUAAAUAAUUAUUUGCUUGUAACAUAAAGUAAAAUAAAUAAAUACAAAAAUAAACAAUUAGUUGCUUUUCCAGUGAUUUAUUUACUUUUUUAUGUAUUGCACUUAAAAGUGAGAAUUUUUAAGUGCAAUAAUUUAUUUAUUUAUGUUGCUUGUUGCCUCAGUUUCACUUUGCAUAAGUUUUUUUUUGUUGUUGCUUAUUUGUAAUGUGCAUGUUUGCAGAAAACCCCAAGACUGGAUAAAUCUCAUGCAAAAGUGUUUUAUUCUCGCUUUAUUUCAAUGCACUGUUGGGACAGUAAACGUUUGGUCACGCUUGUCCUGAAUGCUGAAUAUCAUGCUGACAAACCACAGUCAUUUACAUGCAACCGUGCAAUUAGAGCAUUGAAACCUGCUCCAAAAGCAGCUAUAUAUCACAGUACGCCCUGGGAAGACUUCCUCAAGGGAACAUGGGAAGAGAUACGAUCUAGUUAGUGCAUGUCAUCUGUUCUGAUCUUGUUUACAGGCUAUAAAUCUGGCACUUAUGAGUGAUGUAGUGGGACAGCUUGUGAGGACACUUGUUAUCACUUACACAUUUUCUCCAGAUGCUUGGAAGUAAAAAUCAUACAAUAGAUAACAAGAAAGCAAGGUCUUUCCACCCAAAACAGAGGCAGAAUGAACCUUUCAGCACUUUAUAAUUUAAGACACCACAAGUGCAUAGAGUUCAAAUGACUUACCAGCUGAUUAUUCACAGUAGAUUAAGACAACUGGUUUGCAUUAGAAGUUUUCUGGAACGUUAUAUUUUAAUAUGCACCAACACAUUAAUUAAUUCAUCGUUAAAGGUUUGCACUAAUUUGUGUACAUUUCUAGAACAGCUGGAUGAAGCCAAGUUGAAAAUUGUUUGAUUUUGUUGAUAUACUGUAUAAGAUUUCUCUUUUUAUCACUCUGUAAAUCACAAAUUACUGUCAACAGACAGAACCCUAUACAUUUCUACCACAUUUUUAGGAAUAAAAUGUUGUCUAAAUCAAUACAUGCAAUAAAAUGGUGUACUAGAAAUAAUAAAAGAGCAAUAGUUUAUUAAAAUAAACUCUUUCAAAAAGUGAAUUUUGGAUGUUUUCUUUCAAAUAGUCAGAAACAACUUGAUAUGAAAAGCCAAAUAGCCCAAAACCUCAAAAAUGACCAGUGCAUAAAAAAACAAAUGAUGGAUUCGCCUUAAAAUAUACAUUUUCAAAGAGAGACAAUAAAAAUGUUCCCUGAGAAUCUCUCACAAUAUUGUUUACCCCAAAAAUCGUAACUUGCCUUUUGCAAAAAUACUUUUUUAUUCAAAUUUUUUAGGAAUUAAGAGUUGUAUAAAUCAGUGUGAAUUAUAUAUGAACAAAAUGCAUGCAAUGUCUCACAUUGCAAUUUAUUAAAGAAACUCCAUGAAAAUGUUCCCAGAGAAAUGUGCCUUCUUUCAUAAAAGUGAAAAACUUUUUAUAAGAAUAACUUUUUUAACUUUUUUUCCCCUGAAAUCAUCUGAAGGCUGAAUGAAUAAUCUUUCCAUUAACAUAUGUUUUGUUAAGGAGGACAAUAUUUAAAAAUCUGGAAUCUGAGGAUGCUUUUGUGCUCCAGGGUCACAUAUUAUAUCUGAAAUCUACAGAUGCAAAUAGAAGUGUAAUCGUUUUUUCCAUUAUUUCAACACAACAUGAUGUGAAAAGCCAAAUAGCCCAAAACUGAUUGACCAGAACAUGAGAAAACCCAAUGACUUUGGUUUUAAAAUUAGAUGUAAGUAAUUAAAGAGACACAAUGAAGAGGUUUAAAGCCAGUGCAAGCAGUUCUUUAAAACUAGUACAACGAUCGUUUAACAAAGAGCUCCCACAGGAUCUUUAGGAUCUCGAGAAGGAUUGAAGCGAUCCUCAGUCCGAAGCGUCUCUGGCUCCAGCUCCGAUUUCUGCAAACAUUGUGUUGAUUCUGAUUCUUGUCUAGUUAGUGGGGUUCCCUUGCUUCGUCUCGUGAGCUGCUACUCAUUCCUCAGGGAUGGUUUAGAGUCGGCCGUUAUUACGCCGCAAUCAAAUGACUCUCUGGGACACUUCACAUAAUGAACCAUUUCCUCCGGCUGAAAGCUUUCUCCAGCGAUGCCCAACACGUGUUUAAGAGUAAGACAGCAUGUCACCAUCAGCACGGUUCCCUCUCCUGUUUAUAAUCUCGCUGGAGUCAUUGCAGAUUCAGUGUAUAAUGACAUUGUCUUCUCUUCAUUCAGUAUUUGCUGACUCUGCUGGUUCCUCAGACUCUGGAGAAUCCAAGAAGAGCUGUUGUGGAGAUCAAUGAGACGGAGAUCCAGUUCUUGAGACGCUUUGAGAUGUUCAGGUAACAGCAGUAAAUGAUUCACUCGUUUCUUUCCAAGAAACAUAUGUGCUACUGACCAGGAGAUCUGGAGAUUUCCUUUAGAAAGAAAUGUCAGUAGCACUUUAUUUUACAGUCCUGUUCCUCAUGUCCAUACUAUGUACUUAUUCUAGUAAGUUCAGUAAUUAUGUAAUAACUAGGUACUAACUUAGCUUAAGCUUACACCUGGUGGUAGUUAUUGUGUAGGGAUGGACCUUCAUGCUUACUUUUUUAAUAAAAAUAUACAUUUUUGCAUGAUUCACAAUGUACAGAUUUAUAUGAAAUCGCCGCCGUGUAAAUUAAAUUAGUUCAGCAUAAAUUAGUUAAAAUAAAUUAGUUCAGCAUUUAACACCGUCAUUCCCUCCAAGCUGACCACAAAACUUGGAGACCUGGACAUUAACA